GGGAGUGUAGCUCAGUGGUAGAGUGUGUGCCUGGCACGCAUGAGGUCCUGGGUUCAAUCCGCAGUAGCGCCA
rnacentral:tRNA from 1 species